UAGCUCGCACAAAGACUUUCUUUUUAGUUGAUCUGGAUCCUUUCUUCAAAUCUCUAAAACCUUUCCAAAGAUUGAAGAUGGACUUCUAGAGGAGAUGAAGAGGUAGAAGAAAAAUGGAGAAGAAAAUAAUUUUUUUUUAAUUUAUUGUCUCUUCUCAAACUUUUAGAACCAAAAAUCUAAAAUUCAAGUUUUUUCACACACCCCA
rnacentral:lncRNA from 1 species